UACGUAGGGUGCGAGCGUUAAUCGGAAUUACUGGGCGUAAAGCGUGCGCAGGCGGCGCGUUAAGACAGGUGUGAAAGCCCCGAGCUUAACUUGGGAAUUGCGCUUGUGACCGGCGUGCUGGAGUGUGGCAGAGGGAGGUGGAAUUCCACGUGUAGCAGUGAAAUGCGUAGAGAUGUGGAGGAACACCGAUGGCGAAGGCAGCCCCCUGGGCUGAGAUUGACGCUCAGGCACGAAAGCGUGGGGAGCAAACAGG
rnacentral:rRNA from 1 species